GAACACGUGUGCAACCUGCCUUUAUCAGGGGGAUAGCCUUUCGAAAGGAAGAUUAAUACCCCAUAAUAUUUAGAAUGGCAUCAUUUUAAAUUGAAAACUCCGGUGGAUAGAGAUGGGCACGCGCAAGAUUAGAUAGUUGGUGAGGUAACGGCUCACCAAGUCUGCGAUCUUUAGGGGGCCUGAGAGGGUGAUCCCCCACACUGGUACUGAGACACGGACCAGACUCCUACGGGAGGCAGCAGUGAGGAAUAUUGGACAAUGGGUGGGAGCCUGAUCCAGCCAUCCCGCGUGAAGGACGACGGCCCUAUGGGUUGUAAACUUCUUUUGUAUAGGGAUAAACCUACCCUCGUGAGGGUAGCUGAAGGUACUAUACGAAUAAGCACCGGCUAACUCCGUGCCAGCAGCCGCGGUAAUACGGAGGGUGCAAGCGUUAUCCGGAUUUAUUGGGUUUAAAGGGUCCGUAGGCGGAUCUGUAACUCAGUGGUGAAAUCUCACAGCUUAACUGUGAAACUGCCAUUGAUACUGCAGGUCUUGAGUGUUGUUGAAAUAGC
rnacentral:rRNA from 1 species